UGUGUUGGUGGGCGUGGCUUGUUUGUGUUGCUGUGAAUAUGUCGAUGGCCAGUGUUUUUCAUUAGAGCAAGGGACAACUCUGGAUUCGAUAAUGGCAGGUUAAUGGGAGCUAAUGACAGCUAAUGACGGAGUAGAAAUAGUUUGAAAUAGUUUGAACACGGACGACCUGUUGCGAAGAAAGAGGCGCUGUCGGUAUAGUAAGUCAUCGCCCUUUCCCAGAGAGAGAGUGUUUAUUUACAUCCAGCUAGAACGUGAUUUGCUCCAGUGGAUAAAAUAACGUUACCAUCGUGUAUAUGGAUUCAGGUGUAGUGCUUCUGUGGUGCGCGCGGUCGGCUGUAUUAGUAACGUGCGUCUUUUGUUUACACUUGUUCUUGUACCGUAUGAUGUUUCUAAUGUUACAAUUUCCCUGCUUAUUAUUUUUUUUAUUGUAUAAUUUGUUUUGAAAUUGUUCAAACGUAUUUUAUAAAGGCGAGUGAGAAAUGCGCAUGGCCAUGAUUUGAUUAGCCUAUUGCGACGUAGUGCGCAGUUUCCAGCGUUGUUUCCAACGUUACCCGGAAACAAGCGAGACAUUUGCUCUCAGCUGCUUCCUUAUAAAACAUGUCUGGGGGAUUUGUGCCUCAUUUUUCUUCGGAUCCAGAGCAUCAGGGUGGGAUGGAGAGGUGUGCUGGAUGCUUGCUGCAGGAGGAUGUUGCGCACUUCAGUUUACCUCAGGAGAGGAUUGGCACAUCCAUCGGUUGUGCUUUGGCCCGACAUCAAAACAUCAAACCCACUGCAGUCGGCUGACCGAUUGAUUUGCUGACUGCUUCAGUGGCACAAGAUAAAGCAGGUAUUACGUUCAACUUCUUGUGAAAGUGAAUGGUGCUGCAACGCGUGCUGACAUCCCCAGGGAGAGCCUGUUUGCGUUCUUCUGAGUGGUAUCUGCAGAACCACUGAACCAGCUACAUCAGUCUGAUUUUUAUACAAAUGAAGAAUCAUCUGAUUAAGGCCAGAGCUGUGGUAGGAAGCGCCAGGAACUGAAAGAGGAAGUACACGUGGUAGUGAGUGUGAUUGUGACAGUCAAUCCCCUCACACUGUAUACCUUUUUUAUUUAUUUAUUUUUUAUGUAUAAACGCUUGCUUCACUCUGGAGAUCAAAAGUAGUAACAUUGAAUAAGGAACAGCAUGUAUUCUGCAUCAGAAAUCACUGUAGUAACCAACGUAUGGGUAUUACAAAAGCAUCACAUCACAACGUAAACAGAGCACCAUGUAAAUAUUCCCUUUGGUGCAGAUUCAGAGAUAAAUAGUAUCCCUCAUUAGACUGUAUUUUUAUUUUUUUUAAAGAGCCAAAAGACAAUCUGAGCGCUUAUGCAACUGAUACACAUGCUGGUGAUGUGCCUUUAAAAGCAGUGGCUUGUCAGGUGAUCGAGGAGGCUCAGUCAGCUCAGCCUCACAGACACAGGAGCCGGUGCGUCUCUAGCCGAGAGCAGAGAGGAGUGCGCCAGAGAGGAGGGCAGCGGAGAGUGAGAGAGACCCAAUUAUAUGGGAGGAUGGGGGAAAUGGGGGCACAGCAACGUCACAGAGUGGGGGACAGGGAGCCAUGGUGGUAGGGUUCCCUUUAACUGGACUCUGCUCAUGCUCACUUGCCUUGUGUGGCAGCUAGCAAGUGUGUUUCAGCUUGAUCAAGAAGUUGCGUUGUGUAUCCACAACAGUUGUAUGAAAGCACAGAGAAUUAAGUGCUGCGUCACACUCGGAAAGAGGGAUGGCGUGAUCAUACGCGCAUGUGCACGGCUGUGCGUGCAUUGGCACGUACAUAUGCAUUUGUGUGGGUUCUGCUCUGUAUGUGUGUUUGCUUCUAGUAGCAGUGUAAUGGCAGUUCUGCCGUUGAAACAAGAUGAAAAUAAAGAGUGUGUGUGUUUGAAAGGCAGGCAGAACAGGAGAGAGAGAGAUACAGGGAGGGAGGGAGAGCAAGUCGGAGAGAGAGACCGAGAGAGAGUUUGGAUUAGUUGCUACGUCACUUUUUCAUGUCAGGAGAAACAGAAGCUGAGAUAACAGAAGCCCAGAGUCAUCGAGUUUUUUCACCUGAAGUCGACACAAUGGUUUCGGACAACCUCGUCUUUCCCCUCCUCUUCCUCCUUGGGCGGUGACUCAAACUUCUUUUUGGGCAUGAGCAUGAGCCUAAACCAUUCCAGAGUGCAUCACAUUUGAGGUCUCCCAAGAUGCGGUCAAGCUUUCUUGGAACAUCAUUUUGGUCCACUCAAAAACAAGAUUCAAGGGUGUUUUACACCACAGAAGGAUGCCUUUUGUCAAGAGUACCCCUCCCCUUGGAAGCUGGUUUCAGAUGGUGGCUUAGAGUAUUGUCAUCGAUCUAGCACCAUUUGAAAUCAGUGUUCUUUGGGUGGGAAGUGUAUUUCCCCUGCCAGCAACACGCGGCUGUGACGUGUGACGAGAGGUGUCCCGGAGAUAAAGGUAUUACUCCCUGAAGAACUACUCGGUGGGCUACAAACCAGCGGUCUGUGGUGAUGUUCUGACAGCUCAAGCUCUUUGUCCUCUCUCCAAGGUUGACCGAUUUCUUUUGGUGUUCAGAGCUGCUUUUGUUUCUAGCACCAUUUGAAAUCGGUUACAGUGAAGGACAGAUCAUCUUAUCUUAACCUUGAGGAGGAUCUUGCAAGUAAGCUGUGCUCUUUAUUUUGCGGAUUGUUGAUUGACUGUAGUGAAAUUACAAAUUAAACAAAAGUACUCUCAUCCUGGAUCUCUCAUUGUUUGCAGCGGAGAAAGAAGUAUUCAGAUUCUUUACUUAAGUCAAACUCUGUAGAAAAUACUGUUUACAUUGUGAGUUAUAGUCCUGCAUAAUUACUUAAGUAAAAGCACAUUAAGUAUUAUCAGCUAAAUGUGUUAUUUUGUAUGUAAAACUUGAAUCUGUACAGUAACGAAGCUGUCAAGUAAAUGUAGUCUCGUAAAACAUAAAAUAUUUUACUUGAAAUGUAGUGAAGAAAGUAUAAAGAAGCAUUACAUGAAAAUACCAGUAGGAAAGUACAAGUACCUUAGAAUUGUACUUGGGUCCUGUACUUGAGUAAGUGCACUCCAUCACUGGAUGUGUUCUCUUGUGAACUUCAUUGAGGCAGGAUUUGAACAAUAUUCUAGUUAAAUCCACAAGGUGGCACUGUUAUAUAAAAUAUUAGAUGAGUGAUGUGCCAUCCGACAUUUUCUGGGUUUAACCCUGGUGAGGUGACAGUGCUAACCGUGCCGACAGCACCCUUUAAAUGUUUAAUUUUCAGCAUAUAUGGAUAUUAAAGUGAGUAUUUGUUCUAUUGCUCAUACUAAAUAUAUAGCAAAGGUAUUGUAGAUUACUACUCUAUAUUAUACAGUAGCUCAUUCAAGGAUAUCCACACCUGUAUACAAUAUUAAAGGUGCAGUAAGCAACGCUGCGCAAAGAUUAUUUGAACUCAACUGCCAAACAAACCUACAGAAUCUCUGCCCCCCAGAUUCAUGGACCCACGCGCAUUGCCAUAGCGACCACUUCUGUUAGGGUCUCUGCUGACUAAACAAAAUAUGGCUGAGUCGAUGUUAGGUUGUGGAUUAGCAAACUGUUGCUACUGCUGUAAAGCCAACGAGUUGGUAACAGCCAUCACAAACGAUAGCAAACUGACGAGGUUAAACUGGCCUACUUAAAACAUCAAACGGUGAAACAGCGAAGCUUUUGCCCGUUAGGGCACUUGCCCAUAACGACGAAAGCAACCUCCUCAUCAGUUUUAAUUCCUUUGAAAUCACGGAGGUUUCUUCAGAGUUGGAAUGCCUCGCCGAUGUUAACCAGGCUCUUCCUCCUUUCCCGCUCAUACAACUCCUUUUUCAAUUUGUAUUCUUCGGUCCUUUUGCUCGUUUGCUGUUUCUCAGCCAACUCUUCUCGUUGAUAACUCCUGGCCGGCCGCUGCCUCCCUCUCUCGCCCUCUCCCCCAGCCCCCAUCACUUACUUGCACACGCCACCUGAUGCAGAUUGGCUGGAAUAGUGUAUUAGUUAGUGCUUGUGCGCACCUAUGUUUGUUUUGCAUUUACACAGCCAGGGCUGUGUAGGAACACCAGAUUUUUUUUUUAUCAGCGCGCACAGAAAAUGGAGAGCUAGGUAACCGUGAGGAGAUAUUCGCUGAGUUUGACAAAAAGUGUAUUGGAUUAACAUUGCUUACUAUGCCUAUAGUCCUAACAAGAGAACCUUGUAUACAUAUUAUUAAGAGUACAAUGUGAAUGCAACACUGUGGGUGGCUGUGGCUCAGGAGGUAAAGCAGGGUUGGUGAUUCAAUCCCAAGCUCCUCCGUGUUGUAUUAGUUAGUUAUAUUAAUUGAUUACAAAAGGUAGUGCCAUAGUGAAAGCUUGCCUCAAAAUAAUACAGAACUCUCACUGAGAUUUUCCGACACAAAUUUUUGUUUAAUACGUUUUUUUUCAGAUCCCAGUCUAUAAAUCUGUAUGUGCCCUAAUACUCUUAAAGUAUGCAUAUUCUUCUUCUGAGUAGCGUGAGGUUUCAACAAAUAUUAACAUGACACUCUGGAAGUCUACAAAACCAAUAAUUAGGAGAACCAAAAAUGGUUGAUUUAUUUUUCUUGAACAGGGUAAACUGUUGUGAAGCUAGGCACAAAACAAUGCGCCAAACAUGGCUUAUUAUUAUUUAGCAUAAACAUUAAGCAAAGGUAGGCCUGCAAUUAAGCCUUCAUUACCAAACAUACAACAACUUUUAUGUUUCAUAAUUCUUUCCAAUUCGACAGUGUUUUACACCACAGAAGGAUGCCUUUUGACAGCAGUGCCCCGCUUGGAAGCCGAUUUGAGUUCUGCUCAUAUAUUCUCCAUUAUAAUGGAGAAUGACUUUUGUCCUGUACCAAGCUAACGACCAAUUUUACUAAUUGUGUUUCACUGUGUUCUGCUACCAUAAUGUUCAUGUCAUUAUUUCUAGAUUCAAGGGUGUUUUUUAUGCCACAGAAGGAUGCCUUUUGUCAAGAGUACCCUCCUUGGAAGCUGGUUUCAGAUGGUGGCUUAGAGUAUUGUCAUCAAUCUAGCACCAUUUGAAAUCAGUGUUCUUGGGGUGGGAAGUAUAUUUCCCCUGCCAGCAACACGCAGCUGUGACGUGUGACGAGAGGUGUCCCGGAGAUAAAGGUAUUACUCCCUGAAGAACUACUCGGUGGGCUACAAACCACCGGUCUGUGGUGAUGUUCUGACAGCUCAAGCUCUUUGUCCUCUCUCCAAGGUUGACCGAUUUCUUUUGGUGUUCAGAGUCUGCUUUUGUUUCUAGCACCAUUUGAAAUCUGUUACAGUGAAGGACAGAUUAUCUUUAUUUUUGGGACUGUGGACUGACUAAAAUUGACAAAUAAUUACAAAUUAACCGAAAUACUUUGAUACUGGAUCUCUGAUUGAUAUCUAGAUUGGUGUUUGCAGGGGAGGUAGUAUUCAGGUCCUUGACUUAAAGCACACAAUGUGACAAUGCCACACUGUAGAAAAUACUCAUUACAUUGUGAGUUUAAGUCCCAUUUUUUUAUUUAAGUAAAAGUGCAUACGUAUUAUCAGCUAAAUGUGUUUUGUAUGUAAAACUUAAUUUGCAAAGUAACAAAACGGUCAUAAAUGUAGUCGCAUAAAAAGUACUCUUUCCCUUUUAAAAUAUAGCUAUGUAAGUAUAAAGAAGCAUUACAAUUACCUUUAUAACUGUACUUACUGUAAAUAUUUGUACUUGUGACUAUCAACCACUGGAUGUGUGUCUUUCAACUUGAUCAAGAGAUCAUUUGAAACUUUUCAAAUCCACAAGGGGGCACUAUAAUAUAAAAUAUUAGGGGAAUUAUUUUUCUCUGUAGCCACAGUUGGUCAAUUAUGUUUAGAAUCGCUAUAGACAGUUUCCAUUUUAAUUAUUUCUUAUAACUCUUAAAAUAUUUAGGAUGUCUCAGACCCCAGGCAGGUCACUAGUCAAACUUUUUAAAUUACAUAUUUUAUGUCAUACUAUAUUAUUACGUUAUUUGAAUACUGUUCUCUAGUAUUAUGUUGUAAAUAAAUGCUUAUUUUCCACUUGAA